GGGCUUGGCUCGGGCCAAGACAUGCAUCAUGCCAGCCAAAUCUUCUUUGGGAUGCCCCAAUGCAAUGAUAGUUUAGUCUCUACAUGUUCUACCAAUGGCCUCCAUGCCCACAAUGGGGAUAUGGAGCAAGCAAUUGCAUUGUUCGAUAGGAUACUCAUCAAGGAUGAUAGAGUCGUGGGGGAUGUUCUUUAAGGUGCAUGGAAUCCCUCGUGAUUCAUCUCUUUGGAACUUGCAUUUCCUGAUCCUCCGUCGAGAGGAUCUUUAAGAUGACAAUGGAGGCCAAGUGCUGAUUCUAUCACCUCGCGGUCCC
rnacentral:lncRNA from 1 species